rnacentral:rRNA from 1 species
GGGGAAAACGGAAUUACACUCCCAAACCCCUGUGAACAUACCUAUUUGUUGCCUCGGCGGUGCCUGUUCCGACAGCCCGCCAGAGGACCCCAAACCCUGAUUACAUUUAAGAAGUCUUCUGAGUAAACCGAUUAAAUAAAUCAAAACUUUCAACAACGGAUCUCUUGGUUCUGGCAUCGAUGAAGAACGCAGCGAAAUGCGAUAAGUAAUGUGAAUUGCAGAAUUCAGUGAAUCAUCGAAUCUUUGAACGCACAUUGCGCCCGCUAGUAUUCUGGCGGGCAUGCCUGUCCGAGCGUCAUUUCAACCCUCAAGCCCCCGGGCUUGGUGUUGGGGAUCGGCGAGCCUCCGCGCCCGCCGUCCCCUAAAUCUAGUGGCGGUCUCGCUGUAGCUUCCUCUGCGUAGUAGCACACCUCGCACUGGGAAACAGCGCGGCCACGCCGUUAAACCCCCAACUUCUGAACGUUUGACCUCGGAUCAGGUAGGAAUACCCGCUGAACUUAAGCAUAUCA